CAGCAUUGAAUGGUUGGCAAACAAUGGAAAUUUCGUUUUCAUUUUUGGAUCAGUCUGCUUGAUGAAUUUAAACCUAGUGAUUAUGUUUGCUCAUCUGCUUCUCCAAGUCAUCUUUAGUGUGGAGACCUGAACUCAUGGAAUCAUGAUAUGCCACAGAGAGGAUCCAGAGAGCCCAUCUCCGGUCAGUUAUCUGUAUUUGUAUGUCAACUACAGCAUCAAAAAGCAUAGGCAUGGAUACUAAGGACCCCCUCUGUACACCAACGCCAGUCCAAAGGACAGUGUGUCACUGUGAACUGGAAAUUCAUCUCUCUUCUUCAAUUUUUUUCUACCUACUUUAUGCUUUAUCUCUAAGUUGAGGCUGUUUAUGGCCUCAUCCUCAAUUACCUUGUCCCUCAUUACUCCCAGUUAAUGGAGAUUAAGCUUUGUAUCAUGACUUCCUAACUAAAAUUGAAAUCACAAGACAUCACAUAAAUAAAGUU
rnacentral:lncRNA from 1 species